rnacentral:lncRNA from 1 species
UUUGAAUCCCUUCACCCCUAAUCACUUCCACCGUGAAACUCAUCAAAAUAUAUGGUUUCUCAAGCCAUGAGAGUCUUAUACUUACCUCCCCUUGCUCUUACACACCUAAUAUCUGAACACUCAAGGCCAGACCUCGAAGUUUUACGCUCAGAAAUUUGCUGAUUCAAGGUUCUAUGGUCAUCUCCGGCCUUACUCCGGCGUACCAUGGUUGUUUGAGCCUAGUUCUAACCUCUUUGACUCGGAUCGGUGACCUUUCAAAGCCUUUCUCUUCUCUAUGGUUCUUCUGAAACCUUAACUCUUUGAGUUUUUCUCCAAUUUCUCUAGAUUUGUGGGGUAUUUGUGCUCUCUUUGAGUUUUCAAAUAAAUUCCCUAACUUUUCUUUCUAAAACUACUUUAAAAAAAACCUGUCCUUUCCGAUUUAGGGUUUUCUAAAAAUGUUUAAGUAUUUUUUUUAAGAUUUUCUUUAUCAUUCGUGUGUAUUUGCCUCUAUUGUUCUCCUAUGUUUUUAUCUACCAUGUUCUUGUAUAUAUUUAGUUCUUGUAUGCUCUUUUACUGAGUUUCUAUACUUCGUUCUUGUAUGUUCUUUUACUGUAUUUUAUAUGCUCUGUGCUUGUAUGUUCUUCUACCAUAUUUUCCAAACUAUGUUCUUGUAUUUUCUUUUAUUGUAUUCUGUUAUGUUUCGCCUAUUAUAUUUUUUACUGUGUUCUUAUGAUUUUGCUAUUUUGUUUCUGCGAAUCUUGUUUGGGUUUCUCCUUAUCGAUCCACUUAAGCAUGCUUCUUUCACAGUUCUUAUCAAUAAUUGCCACUAUGUUCUUUGAAUCCUCUCGGUGCUUGCAUGAUUACUUUGCUAUCAUGUUUUCUCAUGAGUUCUGUUGCUGAAGAGGCAUGUUCUUUUCUGAGACUUCUAAUCAUGAUUUCGAUUCAAUUACCUGCCCUCUCAUCUUCGCUUUAUGGUUUGCUUGAUCUAGGGUUUUAUUUUAAGAACACCUGACUCUUUUAGACUACUUCGAGUCUUUAAAUUGAGUUUGGACUUCUUUGUUUUAUAUGACUCUGACCUUUUUGAAAACGUAGUCACUGGAUUUUCGACUGGUUUGACAAUGGCAUGACAAUUUUCUUACAUAGUUAACGUGUUCGUAUGCUCUUUACAUAUGAUGAAUCUUUCUUUCAAAAGGGGCUUUCAACUUGUGAUGAAUUCAAAAUUCCUUCUAAACAGGUCUAAUUGAUUGUUUGUUGAUUUCCCUUAAGAUAAACCUUUUCCAUCUUUCUGGCUCGGUUCAUUCAUAACAAAUCUCAAACCUCUGAUUCUUGGUUGUUAAUUGAUUUUCUUUCCUUAAAUUAUACAACCCUAUAUUUUAAAAACCCUGUACUUACAUAAACUUUAUGUAUUUUUCCUAGAUUGCAUUCUUUACACAAAGGGUUUAUUAAUUUCUUUCUCUAAUUGUCUUAUAACCCGUUUGAACCUAAAUCCCUUAAUUAAAGGGUGCUUCGUGUAAUUGAUUGACAAUCAGUUCUUUAAAUAUUUUCUUACCUUAUUUCUACCUGCUUUUUGUACUAUAAAUACAUGACCCUUUUUUCACAAAGACAUGAUUAACAAUCCUAUACUUCAGACUUCACAAUUUCACAAUCUCUUCUGAACUCACACUAUAGUAUUAUAUCUCCCUGUUUGCACUUUGUCUUUUACAAUACUACUGCUUUUUCUACAUAUAUCAUUGAAACUGAUAUGUCCUAAUUUAAAUUUCAGUAUCACCCAAUGUGGUUACUUACAAUCCUUGUAUCUAUAUCAACUUUCUUAUUUUUUGUAGAUUUCAAUAUUUAGCUUAGUAUGCCUAUGUUCUACUGCCUAUUUCGGUUAUGAACCUUGGUUCCCUAUCCCAUUACCCUUAGGUGUUUGUGAGUUGUGACUUAGGGCAUGGAAAUAUGAGUUGUUGUCCAUGAACUAAGUUUUGAACCAAUGGGGUCUUAACCUCUAAACAGGAUGGAGGGUGUGCCAGCAUAUCCCCAUUGAUGAGUAUGGCCAUUAGCUUCUUUUUUUUUGUGAUCUUGCGAACUCCCCAUUCCCUAUAUCCCUAUGUGUAUUGUUUCCUUUCCCCUUUUCCCUUUCCAGAAUUAUGCACUUGCACUUUCUCUCUUAGUUCCUAAGUUCUGCCCUCCUCUUGUGAUCCUUGCCUUGGGACCUUGAGUUACUUCUGAACUUGGACUCUUCAGAGCUAGCCCUUCCACACUAGAAUAUGACAUAAUAUGGUAAUACAUUUGAGUGUAAGCACUGCCCAGAGUCCAUAUGAAACUCUUAGGGAUCUUUGACACACCCAGAUGAGAGAAAGUCUUUGAAACAUGACCUUUGGAGUUGGUUUACUUUAAAAAUUAGACAGGAAGUCUGAAUCAGGCCCUUCUUGGUUGUAAUUUUUAAUUUCUGAUAUAUUGAUUUUUCUUUGGACUGUAGUAACUUGUAAUAAAACUUUUGGGGAUGGCUAGUGAAAAGGAAGGGGCAACCAUUCAUGUAAAAGGGUAGAUAACUUGCCGAUAGGAAUCUCUAAUUUCAGUAUUUUCUCAAAUAGUUAUCCAGCCUAUAAGAUUUCUGCAUUUUUUCAUAUAGUUACCUUACCUAUAUGAUUUCUGCAUUUUUCAUGUAGUUACCAUGCUAAUAAGGUUUUUGCAUUUUUCAUGUAGUUACCAUGCCUAUAUGAUUUCUGCACUUUUCAUAUAGUUACCAUGCUUAUAUGUAUUUCUACAUUCUCAUUAUUUACCAUGUCUGUAAGAAUCUCAAUAUUCUCAAUUAGAUGCCAUGACUAUAGGAACUUCAGCAUUCUCAUUCAGAUAUCAUGACUAUAGGGAUCUUGCACUUUCAUCUAGGUAUUGUGUCUAUAGCUUCUGCACACGCACAUAGAAAAUCUGCCUAUAUGUCCUUUCUGAUUCCUGCAUACCCGCUUUUCACUAGGCAAACUUGUCUAUAGGUCCUAAUAACCAAAAACAUAAUUAGAUAUCAUUCAACGCUUAGAUAUCAUGUUGUAGAAUUUCUGUACUCUUCUAUGUCCAUAAC